AUCAUCUCUUUCACCCACACCCUCUGCAAUUCAUCACCGCUGACUGCCACCUGAACCGGCCGUCGACCACCUCCAUCCAGUCGCUGGUUCAGACACUCAUCUUAUCGCCUGAACCCUAACGCCGUCGCACACAACCAAGCCCCGUCGCCGGUCGCCGACCAGUCGACCACCACAGCCCUACUUCUCCGUCGCGCACCCCAUUCGCACUCCGACGCCGGUUCCGAUUAGUGACUUGGUUUUGAGUUAUCAGUGAUAUGAUAAUUAUGUUCUAAUUUUUUGUGUAUAUCUUGAGUUUAUUUAGAUUAGAGUUGCGUAUCACGACUCGGUUAAGUUCGUGGAAAUAUGAGUGAAAUGAAACGAACAACCACAACCGCCUUUGUAGAUGCCUUCCACAUAUUUCUCCGAGCCUCGAGGACGAUGCUAUAUCUUAAGCUUGGGGAGGUUGUGAUUUGAGGUAAUUUCUAUGUUCUCAUUGUAUCAUGUAUUACAUAGCAUAGCAUUGCAUUGUAUUUAGGUUGUACAUAGCAUUUUUUUUCUUUGCAUUGCAUUUAGGUUGUAUAUAAACGCAUUAGUAUUCAUUUUUGAAAAAAAAACUAAAAAAAGAAAAAAAAAACCGUUUCUGUUCCGUUGAGAAUGGUUUGUGAAAAAUGAGAAAUGAUAUGAUUUCUAGCAUGUCAAAGCUUAUGCGCGAAAUGGUAACUUUGGGGAAGAAAACAUAGAUAAUUUGGGAUGUGUUGAUAGGCUCGGCCCUAACUUAGGAACGCCAAUGUUGUAUGCAAUAACCUUAAUUGAAUAUAUGUGUUUAGUUUCCCAUCUUUAUGCUUGUGGUUAAAAAUUGAUCCCGACCAAAAAUCGGUUGAGUUGCAUAUCCUCUAUCACACACCAUGUUCCCCAUAUCAUGACACCUCCGUAAUUUCAUUGAAAAAAAAAUAAAGAGGUGAAAAAUUGACCUCAUAGGUUAUUAAAGAUUAAAAAAAAGAGAAAA